rnacentral:rRNA from 1 species
CAUAUCAAUAAGCGGAGGAAAAGAAACCAACAGGGAUUGCCCUAGUAACGGCGAGUGAAGCGGCAACAGCUCAAAUUUGAAAUCUGGCUCUCGGGCCCGAGUUGUAAUUUGUAGAGGAUGCUUUUGAUGCGGUGCCUUCCGAGUUCCCUGGAACGGGACGCCAUAGAGGGUGAGAGCCCCGUCUGGUUGGAUGCCAAAUCUCUGUAAAGCUCCUUCGACGAGUCGAGUAGUUUGGGAAUGCUGCUCUAAAUGGGAGGUAUAUGUCUUCUAAAGCUAAAUACCGGCCAGAGACCGAUAGCGCACAAGUAGAGUGAUCGAAAGAUGAAAAGCACUUUGAAAAGAGAGUUAAAAAGUACGUGAAAUUGUUGAAAGGGAAGCGUUUAUGACCAGACUUGGGCUUGGUUAAUCAUCUGGGGUUCUCCCCAGUGCACUUUUCCAGUCCAGGCCAGCAUCAGUUUUCGCCGGGGGAUAAAGGCUUCGGGAAUGUGGCUCUCUCCGGGGAGUGUUAUAGCCCGUUGCGUAAUACCCUGGCGGGGACUGAGGUUCGCGCAUCUGCAAGGAUGCUGGCGUAAUGGUCAUCAACGACCCGUCUUGAAACACGGACCAAGGAGUCGUCUUCGUAUGCGAGUGUUCGGGUGUCAAACCCCUACGCGUAAUGAAAGUGAACGCAGGUGAGAGCUUCGGCGCAUCAUCGACCGAUCCUGAUGUUCUCGGAUGGAUUUGAGUAAGAGCAUACGGGGCCGGACCCGAAAGAAGGUGAACUAUGCCUGUGUAGGGUGAAGCCAGAGGAAACUCUGGUGGAGGCUCGCAGCGGUUCUGACGUGCAAAUCGAUCGUCAAACAUGGGCAUGGGGGCGAAAGACUAAUCGAACCUUCUAGUAGCUGGUUUCCGC